rnacentral:rRNA from 1 species
GACAGAGGUGCCAAGCGUUUAGGCGGAAUCACUGGGCUUAAAGCGUGUGUAGGCGGAUCGUUAAGUACCUUGUGAAAUCCCACGGCUCAACCGUGGAACUGCUGGGUAUACUGGCGGUCUUGAGCCACCUAGGGGCAACUGGAACAAGCGGUGGAGCGGUGAAAUGCGUAGAUAUCGCUUGGAACGCCAACGGUGAAAACAGGUUGCUGGGGGGUGUGCUGACGCUGAGACACGAAAGCCAGGGGAGCGAACGGG